rnacentral:lncRNA from 1 species
AAACUUAAAAUAUUACAAGGGCGAAGCAGUUACAGUGUAUGAAUAACAUAAAUAAGAGUGAAAAUAAGAAAUAAUAAUAAGGUUUGUUAAGGUUUAAGAAAAAGGUUAUGUUUAGAGGAAAUAACACGGUUAAAGUUUUAGGUUUGAAAUUUAGAGUUUGUGGCGAAAUUGUCAGGGUUUAGGAAAAAUCAGGGUAGUUAGUUAUGAAAAAAAUGUGCAGAUCUAAAUAUAUG